UACGGGGGGGGCAAGCGUUGUUCGGAAUUAUUGGGCGUAAAGGGCGCGUAGGCGGCGCUGUAAGUCACUUGUGAAAUCUCUGAGCUUAACUCAGAACGGCCAAGUGAUACUGCAGUGCUAGAGUGCAGAAGGGGCAACUGGAAUUCUCGGUGUAGCGGUGAAAUGCGUAGAUAUCGAGAGGAACACCUGCGGCGAAGGCGGGUUGCUGGGCUGACACUGACGCUGAGGCGCGAAAGCUAGGGGAGCGAACGGG
rnacentral:rRNA from 1 species